rnacentral:lncRNA from 1 species
UAUGUGUCUAGAUAUGUUUAUGUGUGAAUGUUCAUGUAUCAGGGAUUCAGUUUCACAGUUUUAACUUCAAUUUUCUUGUUUACCCCACAAAUGACAAAAUUGCGUCAUUCCUUCUCUUUGCCCCUUUCCAACACCACCCCACAAUUUUUUAAACAAUCAAAAGAAAAAUUAAAACCAGCAAACCUUAAAUUCUUGUUUGUUAUUUGGAUGGUGAAAUACUGCAGGUAGACACUGAAUUGGACAUUGAUUUCCUUUUCUCUGCGUCGAAAUGUCAAGGAAAGUUGCAAGUCUGUGAUUUUGUGUUUGGUUUUUUGCAUGUUGCUUCUAUGGAAAAACAAAACAACAACAGCAGACCUCCCUGCCCAAAGUGUUAAAAUGCCUCCUUCAUAACCUGAGACUUACUUUCAUUUUCUAGGUGCUGGAGAAUCUGGUAAAAGCACCAUUGUGAAGCAGAUGAGGAUCCUGCAUGUUAAUGGGUUUAAUGGAGA